GGGCCUGGCCUGAUGGGAGCCUGUUCUGAUGGGAGCCUGGCCUGAUGUGAGCCUGUUCUGGUAUGAAACUUUAGCUCUGGAAUUGCCUCUCGGAUCUGACUAGCUUAAAGAUUCUAAUGACUCAGUUUCCAACAUGAAGAAAGCAGCAAUCGUCCAAGUCUGUCUUCUUUAUAGAGGUGCACACAAUAGUUUUGCACCUGGUUAACCACCGGGAAAGAAAGGAGCUGGGCUACAAAACCGGAUCUGUUCCCCGGCUCCUCGAACUCAGGGAGCCUGCCUCGCCACGUGAGUGUUGGUCUCUCACUGCUAACACGAUGUCCUCAGGGGCUGCCCAGCGGCAUUCACCUUCCGUGUGCAAACACAACAGAAAACGGCUUUUCUACCUGCUCUUGUCUCCCCCCCCCCUGCUGGGACCUGAAUUGUGAAAAUUAUGUAAGGUUUCAGUUCUUUUAAGUCUUAUAUAAAAUUAGGAUACU